CCUACGCGUGGCAGCAGUGAGGAAUAUUGGUCAAUGGGCGUAAGCCUGAACCAGCCAAGUCGCGUGAGGGAUGAAUGUUCUAUGGAUUGUAAACCUCUUUUAUAAGGGAAUAAAGUGCGGGACGUGUCCCGUCUUGUAUGUACCUUAUGAAUAAGGAUCGGCUAACCCCGUGCCAGCAGCCGCGGUAAUACGGAGGAUCCGAGCGUUAUCCGGAUUUAUUGGGUUUAAAGGGUGCGUAGGCGGCCUGUUAAGUCAGCGGUGAAAGUCUGUGGCUCAACCCUAGAAUUGCCGUUGAAACUGGGAGGCUUGAGUAUGGUUGAGGCAGGCGGAAUGCGUGGUGUAGCGGUGAAAUGCUUAGAUAUCACGAAGAACCCCGAUUGCGAAGGCAGCCUGCCGAGCUAUGACUGACGCUGAUGCACGAAAGCGUGGGGAUCAAACAGGAUUAGAUACCCUUGUAGUC
rnacentral:rRNA from 1 species